rnacentral:lncRNA from 1 species
UAAAAGAUGAACAGAAAUUAAAAGAAGAGAUAGGAAGGUUCGGCCAAGAAGAUAGAAAAAGAAAAACAAGGUUACAAAGAAGAAAUGACACGAAUGGUCAAUUCGUAGCACAAAAAGACUAGCAGAAACUUGACAAAGAGAUGCACGGGUGGUCAAUUUUAGUUUCGACUCUUAGAGAAAAAAGAAAGAAAAAACCAAAACUCCCAAAAACUAGAGAGAAAACUCGGCACCUACACUGACCAAAACCGAAAUGCAUUACCCCAAACACCCCCUUAGCCGAAUUUCAAAACCAAGAUUCCCCAAACGGCACACACACUCCCCCAUACUCCAACUUCCUUGAUUCACUCAACCAAUCUCUCCAUAAUCUUCUCCUCAACUUACUCCCACAAUAUCUCCAUGACCAAAUCAACUCUUCAACCCUCACACUUCUACUACAACACAAACUCUAGCCACCCUAGCUGCAAAAUAAAAGCCCCCUAUACAAUGCCAACACUCA